rnacentral:rRNA from 1 species
UACGAAGGGGGCUAGCGUUGUUCGGAAUCACUGGGCGUAAAGGGUGCGUAGGCGGGUCUUUAAGUCAGGGGUGAAAUCCUGGAGCUCAACUCCAGAACUGCCUUUGAUACUGGCGAUCUCGAGUCCGGGAGAGGUGAGUGGAACUGCGAGUGUAGAGGUGAAAUUCGUAGAUAUUCGCAAGAACACCAGUGGCGAAGGCGGCUCACUGGCCCGGUACUGACGCUGAGGUGCGAAAGCGUGGGGAGCAACAGG